AACGAACGCUGGCGGCAUGCCUAAUACAUGCAAGUCGAACGACCGGAGCAAUCCGGGAGUGGCGGACGGGUGAGUAACGCGUGGGAACCUGCCCAGCGGUGUGGAACAACCGAGGGAAACUUCGGCUAAUACCGCAUACGCCUUUACGGGGAAAGAUUUAUCGCCGUUGGAGGGGCCCGCGUCCGAUUAGCUAGUUGGCGGGGUAAUGGCCCACCAAGGCGACGAUCGGUAACUGGUCUGAGAGGACGACCAGUCACACUGGGACUGAGACACGGCCCAGACUCCUACGGGAGGCAGCAGUAGGGAAUAUUGGACAAUGGGGGCAACCCUGAUCCAGCAAUGCCGCGUGAGUGAUGAAGCCUUAGGGUUGUAAAGCUCUUUCGCCCGCGACGAUGAUGACGGUAGCGGGAGAAGAAGCCCCGGCUAACUUCGUGCCAGCAGCCG
rnacentral:rRNA from 1 species